AAUGGGGGCAACCCUGAUCUAGCCAUGCCGCGUGAGUGAUGAAGGCCUUAGGGUCGUAAAGCUCUUUCGCCUGUGAUGAUAAUGACAGUAGCAGGUAAAGAAACCCCGGCUAACUCCGUGCCAGCAGCCGCGGUAAUACGGAGGGGGUUAGCGUUGUUCGGAAUUACUGGGCGUAAAGCGCGCGUAGGCGGAUUAGAAAGUUGGGGGUGAAAUCCCGGGGCUCAACCCCGGAACUGCCUCCAAAACUGCUAGUCUAGAGUUCGAGAGAGGUGAGUGGAAUUCCGAGUGUAGAGGUGAAAUUCGUAGAUAUUCGGAGGAACGCCAGUGGCGAAGGCGGCUCACUGGCUCGAUACUGACGCUGAGGUGCAAAAGUGUGGGGAGCAAACAGGAUU
rnacentral:rRNA from 1 species